rnacentral:lncRNA from 1 species
UUCAGGCCUUAACUUAGAAAUUUUCAAAAUGUUACAUGAUUACAAGUGAUGUAAAUUUUUUAAAUACAAGUGAUACAAGUGCGGAGGAAUAUUAAUACAAAAGCUUUGAAUACAAGUGAUACAAGAGAGAUAGAAUACAAAUGAUAUGUUUGAUUCCCAAAAAUCACUUACUCUUCAUCAAUCCUAAAAUUUACACAAUAAUGAUAAUUAAUGGGUUUAAUUAACGUAAA